UGGGCAACCUGCCCCUCUCUCUGGGAUAACCCCGGGAAACCGAGGCUAAUACCGGAUACGACCUCAGCGGACAUCUGCAUGAGGUGGAAAGCUCCGGCGGUCAUGGAUGGGCUCGCGGCCUAUCAGCUUGUUGGUGAGGUAACGGCUCACCAAGGCGUCGACGGGUAGCCGGCCUGAGAGGGCGACCGGCCACACUGGGACUGAGAUACGGCCCAGACUCCGUACGGGAGCA
rnacentral:rRNA from 1 species